CAGCCGCCGCGGUAAAACCAGCACCUCGAGUGGUCAGGAGGUUUAUUGGGCCUAAAGCAUCCGUAGCCGGUUGCAUAAGUUUUCGGUUAAAUCUAUGCGCUCAACGUAUAGGCCGCCGAAAAUACUGUGCAGCUAGGGAGUGGGAGAGGUACACGGUACUCAAUAGGAAGGGGUAAAAUCCUUUGAUCUAUUGAUGACCACCUGUGGCGAAGGCGGUCUACCAGAACACGUUCGACGGUGAGGGAUGAAAGCUGGGGGAGCAAACCGGAUUAGAUACCCGGGUAGUCCCAGCUGUAAACUAUGCAAACUCAGUGAUGCAUUGGCUUGUGGCCAAUGCAGUGCUGCAGGGAAGCCGUUAAGUUUGCCGCCUGGGAAGUACGUACGCAAGUAUGAAACUUAAAGGAAUUGGCGGGGGAGCAC
rnacentral:rRNA from 2 species